UAAUACGGAGGAUGCGAGCGUUAUCCGGAUUUAUUGGGUUUAAAGGGUGCGUAGGCUGUUAUAUAAGUCAGUGGUGAAAUAUUCGGGCUCAACCGGGAUACUGCCAUUGAUACUGUAUAGCUGGAAUAUGGUUGCUGUGGGUGGAAUGUGUGGUGUAGCGGUGAAAUGCAUAGAUAUCACACAGAAUAUCGAUUGCGAAGGCAACUCACAAAGCCAUUAUUGACGCUGAUGCACGAAAGUGUGGGGAUCAAACAGGAUUAGAUACCCUGGUAGUCCACACUGUAAACGAUGAUAACUAGCUGUCGGCGAUAGAUAGUCGGUGGCUAAGCGAAAGCGAUAAGUUAUCCACCUGGGGAGUACGACCGCAAGGUUGAAACUCAAAGGAAUUGACGGGGGCCCGCACAAGCGGAGGAACAUGUGGUUUAAUUCGAUGAUACGCGAGGAACCUUACCCGGGCUCGAACGGUGCAGGAAUAUGGUAGAGAUAUCAUAGCUAGCAAUAGUCUGUAUCGAGGUGCUGCAUGGUUGUCGUCAGCUCGUGCCGUGAGGUGUCGGCUUAAGUGCCAUAACGAGCGCAACCCUUGUCGUUAGUUACCAUCAAGUAAAGUUGGGGACUCUAGCGAGACUGCCACCGUAAGGUGUGAGGAAGGGGGGGAUGACGUCAAAUCAGCACGGCCCUUACGUCCGGGGCGACACACGUGUUACAAUGGUAGGUACAGAGGGGCGCUAUCCAGUGAUGGAGUGCGAAUCUCAAAAACCUAUCUCAGUUCGGAUUGGAGUCUGCAACUCGACUCCAUGAAGUUGGAUUUCGCUAGUAAUCGCGCAUCAGCCAUGGGCGCGGUGAAUACGUUNCCNGGGCNUUGNNCACACCGCCCGUCAAGCCAUGGAAGCCGGGGGNGCC
rnacentral:rRNA from 1 species